AAAUAAUACAUACUCAUUGAAAAAUAUCUAGGAAAAUAUAGGAAGAAAAUAAAAACCACCCAUAAAAUUAACAUUAUGAUAUACCUAGUUUUAAUUUUACCACUGCAUAUAAUCAUAUUUAGUGAAAUCAGCCUAAAACUAUACACAGUUGUGAGUUUGUUUGUUUUUAACCUUGGGAUUAUCUCUGACCAUAUGGCCACCGUCAGCCACUCCAUGGAUCGAUGUGGGGCCUUACUCCAGGCCAGUUCCUCUUAUAGGCCAAGUGCUGCCCGCUGGGAUGGUUUCCUUUCCCCAGUGUUCAGGGCUACCCCUAAAGAGGACCAUAAUCACUGCGAUAGUCCAUCGUGGGGAUAUGGUUCAGGGCCAUCUAAAUCCGGCCUGAAUUUAGUCAGGCGGUCAUUGGGAAUCUGCCACGAAGCAUUGGGUACAGGUGAGGUUGCCAAGGUACACAUGCUGGGCACAAGUGACUUGGCCGGUGGGCCUUAUUUGUGCCUUCACAAACUGUUCGGUAGGGGCCCGUGUAGACCAAUAAAUCAUCUUUCUGUAAUAGUUGCGCACUUGUUGGAAUUUCCAAUUUUAUGGCCCAGUGGGUCAGAUAACACCCAGUUCACGAAUGGCACGUAUCUGGUAUCCGGUCACCUGGUGUCCCAUGGUCAGUUGUCUCCUCCAGAGCCCAGUGACAAGCCAGGGGUUGCUACUCUCAAAAAGAGAAGAAUUAUUUGUUGGAGGCCUGGCUUUGCUCAUAAAUCUUAAAAGUGCUUCCCUUCUGAUGCUCCCACGGAAACCUGCAAUAUGGCCCCAAACAACCUCUUGCUGCGCCUGUGUCUCUGGAACCAGAAGGUUCUAGCAACAGUAGCCACUUCUCUGUACCCUGACUGGCAUAAGGGCUUUUCCUGGCUCUGAUCCCGCUCAAGGCUAGCAACUGCUCAUGUCCCCAGACCUGUGUGAUUUGCUGUCACACGUACAGUUCAGUGUUUCUGUUGCUCAACUUACUUUCCACCAAUCACCGAAGCCAACAUUAUGCAUUUUCCUGAUUGCCCCAAAUAUAAAAUGAGCAAAUUAGCCCAUAUUUCCCCUCCCACCAUCUUCUCCCUCACCAAUUCUCCAGACUCUGUUAAUAAAAAUCCAGCUUGUGGCUUCUGACAUCGUUUUACACCGUGUAUAGUCUUAACUCUGAAAUACCUAAAUUCAUUUACAUUUACUUAAUUACAAUGAUUUUCUGAAUACUGAAUAUUGUUGAGUAUCAUUCAUUGGUUUUAAUGACCAACGGCCAGUUCUUUUUAUUCAGAUCUCACUGGCGCUAGAACUGGAAUUAUAAUGAUCUUUGAGCCUAUUGUAAUGCAUCAUCAGAUAAGUUUUUAAGAAGGACACAUAGAUGACAUGUUUUCUGAGUUCCUGAGUGUACAAGACAGUUUUUUCUGAUGCCUUCACAAAAGAAAAAUAACUUCUUGACAAAGGAUAAAAAUCUUACGCCACAAGUACAAUAUAAUUUAUACAAUUAUAUUUAUUUCAUUUAUAUAAUUCUUUUAUAUAAUUUAUAUAAAUUCUUAUUUAUAUAAUUUAUAUAAUGUAUUUAUAAUUCUUACUUCAUUUCUUCUGAUACCUUAUGUAACCCCCCAAAAUCUCAAUCCAGUUUGCUAGUCCAGUUUGAGCUUUGAUCUCUUUUGAAGGAUUGUCUCUCUUUUACCCAAAUAGGUUUAGAAUUGUUUUGUUGGACCGCUCUUACAAAUACCUUUUUUUUUUUUUUUUUUUUUUAGUAUUUCAGACUCAGAAAAAAGCUGCAAGAAUAAGAUUAGUAAAAAGAACACCCAAAUACCUUUAAGGCAGAUUCACCCCUCACUGGCGUUUGGUCCCAUCUCUCUUUGUUCUCAGUCUCUUUCCGCAUAACGCGCACACGCAGGCACGCAGAUGCACGCAGCACGCACGCACAGACGCACACAGACGCGCACAGACGCACACGUGCAAGCAUGUGCGCAGACACGCAUAGGCGCGCGCACGCACCUUUUCUCCGAAGCGCUCGUGGGUAAGUUAUGCGCCUCUGACGCCGAACUACUUCAUCGAGUCGCCUAAGACGAGGGAGACUAUUUUCAACUUCAGUAACUUAACACUAUACUUCUUAAGCGCCGACCGCGUGGCAGACCGGAGUCCAG